GACGAACGCUGGCGGCGUGCUUAACACAUGCAAGUCGAACGAAGUGGCGAACGGGUGAGUAACGCGUAAUCAACCUGCCCUUCAGAGGGGGACAACAGUUGGAAACGACUGCUAAUACCGCAUACUGAAGGAGGGGAUUGCGUCUGGUUAGCUAGUUGGGGGGGUAACGGGCUACAAAGGCGACGAUCAGUAGCCGGGUGAGGGGGAUGAACGGCCACAUUGGGAACGGGACAAGGCCCAGACGCCUAAGGGAGGCAGCAGGGGGGGAAGUGCCGCAAUGGACGCAAGGCUGACGGGGCAACGCCGGGUGAGUGAUGACGGCCUUCGGGUUGUAAAGCUUUGUUAAUCGGGACGCAGUACCGGAAUAGAAAGCCACGGCUAACUACGUGCCAGCAGCCGCGGUAAUAC
rnacentral:rRNA from 1 species